UCCUGACUGACCGAUAGUGAACCAGUACCGUGAGGGAAAGGCGAAAAGAACCCCGGCGAGGGGAGUGAAAAAGAACCUGAAACCGUGUACGUACAAGCAGUGGGAGCACGCUUAGGCGUGUGACUGCGUACCUUUUGUAUAAUGGGUCAGCGACUUAUAUUCUGUAGCAAGGUUAACCGAAUAGGGGAGCCGAAGGGAAACCGAGUCUUAACUGGGCGUUAAGUUGCAGGGUAUAGACCCGAAACCCGGUGAUCUAGCCAUGGGCAGGUUGAAGGUUGGGUAACACUAACUGGAGGACCGAACCGACUAAUGUUGAAAAAUUAGCGGAUGACUUGUGGCUGGGGGUGAAAGGCCAAUCAAACCGGGAGAUAGCUGGUUCUCCCCGAAAGCUAUUUAGGUAGCGCCUCGUGAAUUCAUCUCCGGGGGUAGAGCACUGUUUCGGCAAGGGGGUCAUCCCGACUUACCAACCCGAUGCAAACUGCGAAUACCGGAGAAUGUUAUCACGGGAGACACACGGCGGGUGCUAACGUCCGUCGUGAAGAGGGAAACAACCCAGACCGCCAGCUAAGGUCCCAAAGUCAUGGUUAAGUGGGAAACGAUGUGGGAAGGCCCAGACAGCCAGGAUGUUGGCUUAGAAGCAGCCAUCAUUUAAAGAAAGCGUAAUAGCUCACUGGUCGAGUCGGCCUGCGCGGAAGAUGUAACGGGGCUAAACCAUGCAC
rnacentral:rRNA from 1 species